UACGUAGGGCGCGAGCGUUGUCCGGAAUUAUUGGGCGUAAAGAGCGCGCAGGCGGUCGUUCAAGUCGAGUGUGAAAGCCCCCGGCUCAACUGGGGAGGGUCACGCGAUACUGAUCGACUGGAAGGCAGGAGAGGGUAGUGGAAUUCCCGGUGUAGUGGUGAAAUGCGUAGAUAUCGGGAAGAACACCCGUGGCGAAGGCGGCUCUCUGGAACGCAACUGACGCUGAGACGCGAAAGCGUGGGGAGCAAACAGG
rnacentral:rRNA from 1 species